UACAGAGGGUGCGAGCGUUAAUCGGAUUUACUGGGCGUAAAGGGCGCGUAGGCGGUGAUGUGAGUGUGAUGUGAAAGCCCUGGGCUUAACCUAGGAAGUGCAUCGCAAACGACAUUACUGGAGUAUAUGAGAGGGUAGCGGAAUUUCCGGUGUAGCGGUGAAAUGCGUAGAUAUCGGAAGGAACGUCAAUGGCGAAGGCAGCUACCUGGCAUAAUACUGACGCUGAGGCGCGAAAGCGUGGGGAUCAAACAGG
rnacentral:rRNA from 1 species